GAAAAAACGAUGACAGGGCAGUAGGGUUGUGAAAGCUUUCCAAGCGAACCGGGGACAGUGCGAGCCCGGCAAAGCGCGCAGCCUGAACAUCCCCCUUGAGUUCUUGCCUUGAACGCCGAAAAGGCCAGUAGAGUUAAGCGGGACCUUCCACGUUACGGAUGUCGAGCGGGCAUAUUGGAUGCCUACUAGGGUGGUACCGCGGGAACCUUCUCGUCCCUAUU
rnacentral:ncRNA from 1 species